rnacentral:tRNA from 5 species
GCCAACUUAGCUCAGCUGGUAGAGCAAUGGUUUUGUAAACCAUCGGUCCGGGGUUCGAGUCCCCGAGUUGGCUCCA